UACGUAGGGGGCAAGCGUUGGUCCGGAUUUAUUGGGCGUAAAGAGCGUGUAGGCGGUUAUGCAGGUCCGCUGUGAAAACUGGAGGCUUAACCUCCAGACGUCGGUGGAAACCGUAUGACUAGAGUCCGGAAGAGGAGAGUGGAAUUCCUGGUGUAGCGGUGAAAUGCGCAGAUAUCAGGAAGAACACCCGUGGCGAAGGCGGCUCCUCUGGGAGCGGUACU
rnacentral:rRNA from 1 species